UAACAUCCGGAAACGGGUGCUAAUACCGCAUAGUUUUCUUGAUCGCAUGAUCGGGAAAGGAAAGACGGCCUUUGUGCUGUCGCUUAUGGAUGGACCCGCGGCGUAUUAGUUAGUUGGUGAGGUAACGGCUCACCAAGACGAUGAUACGUAGCCGACCUGAGAGGGUGAUCGGCCACAUUGGGACUGAGACACGGCCCAAACUCCUACGGGAGGCAGCAGUAGGGAAUCUUCCGCAAUGGACGAAAGUCUGACGGAGCAACGCCGCGUGAGUGAAGAAGGUUUUUCCGGAUCGUAAAACUCUGUUGUCAGAGAAGAACAAGUUGGAGAGUAACUGCUCCAGCCUUGACGGUAUCUGACCAGAAAGCCACGGCUAACUACGUGCCAGCAGCAGC
rnacentral:rRNA from 1 species